UACGGGGGGGGCAAGCGUUGUUCGGAAUUACUGGGCGUAAAGCGCGCGUAGGCGGCUUUUCAAGUCAGACGUGAAAGCCCCAGGCUUAACCUGGGAAUUGCGUUUGAUACUGUUAAGCUAGAGUGUGGAAGGGGCUACUGGAAUUCCGUGUGUAGCGGUGAAAUGCGUAGAUAUCGUUUGGAACGCCAAUGGUGAAAACAGACAGCUGGGAGUGUGCUGACGCUGAGACACGAAAGCCAGGGGAGCGAACGGG
rnacentral:rRNA from 1 species